CAGUUAUUUGUACUUCAAAAUGAACUAUUCUUAGAUAUAUUUUACAACGUCUAGCACUUUUUCUUGUUGUAGCAUCUCCAAUAAAAGGAGAAGUCAUAUUUAGAGAAGCACAGAAUUGAAUAUUCUAGUAUGAUGUCAUAGUUAUAUACGUGGUAGACAGGCAUAAUACCACAGUUGGAAGAAAAGAUCGAUCUGCACAGUGGAUAGAUAGUGUAAAAUAGUUAUAAAAUGUUUUUUGGCGCCCGAUUCUUACUGUUGUAAUUGUGGAAUAAUGCUGAACUUAUUCUGAAAAAAAGAAAGAAAAUAUUAUCAAAUUGCCAAUAAAUGUGAUAAAAGUCGUUUCUUUUUUAAAGGUAUUUUAAAGAAAUAUUCAGGAUGCAUCUUAAGUUGAAACCAUUUGGAUACUAAGACUUUGAUACUUGGAUUAAUAUCUCGAAAACUGUUCAUUUGAAAUGGAAAAUAAUAAUAUUUGCAUAGUGAAUAACAGAAAUACACCUUUUCUAAAGCGGUUGGAAUUUGAAAACAACUAAUCGAAAAUUCCUUAUGUUG